rnacentral:rRNA from 1 species
UCCGCAAUGGACGAAAGUCUGACGGAGCAACGCCGCGUGAGUGAUGACGGCCUUCGGGUUGUAAAGCUCUGUUAAUCGGGACAAAGGCCUUCUUGCGAACAGUUAGAAGGAUUGACGGUACCGGAAUAGAAAGCCACGGCUAACUACGUGCCAGCAGCCGCGGUAAUACGUAGGUGGCAAGCGUUGUCCGGAAUUAUUGGGCGUAAAGCGCGCGCAGGCGGAUCAGUCAGUCUGUCUUAAAAGUUCGGGGCUUAACCCCGUGAUGGGAUGGAAACUGCUGAUCUAGAGUAUCGGAGAGGAAAGUGGAAUUCCUAGUGUAGCGGUGAAAUGCGUAGAUAUUAGGAAGAACACCAGUGGCGAAGGCGACUUUCUGGACGAAAACUGACGCUGAGGCGCGAAAGCCAGGGGAGCGAACGGGAUUAGAUACCCGGUAGUCCUGGCCGUAAACGAUGGGUACUAGGUGUAGGAGGUAUCGACCCCUUCUGUGCCGGAGUUAACGCAAUAAGUACCCGCCUGGGGAGUACGACCGCAAGGUUGAAACUCAAAGGAAUUGACGGGGGCCCGCACAAGCGGUGGAGAUGUGGUUGAUUCGACGCAACGCGAGAAC